UAUGACAUUUAACAACUUUAAGCCUCAAUUUCUUCAUUUAGAAAAUGAAGCUAGUAAAUAAUGUAUCCUGAAGAGGAGUUGUGAAGAUUAGAAAUGAUAGGCACAAAACUUUUGAAAAACAUCCCUGUCAGUUCAACUUAGAACUGUUGACAUGGGUGGGGCCUUUUGGCCGGAGCCACCAUCUUCCAGUAAUGCACCAAAACAACCAACACAAAGGGAAAGAGGAGAGGCGCUAAUACCUGUUCUCUAGGCCUUUUAGAGAACAUGGUGUUGCUCCUUCGGCCAUAAAAAUGGGAAUCUAUUAAAAUAAGAAAGACGAUAUUGUAGAUAUCAAGGGAAUGAGUCCUGCUCAAAAAGGCAUGCCCCACAGAUGUCACCAUGGCAACACUGGAAGAGUCUACACUGUUACCUAGCAUGCUGUUGGCAUUAUUGUAAAUAAACAAACAAGUUAGGGUAAGAUUCUUGCCAGGAGAAUCAAUGUGUGUAUUGAGCAUAUUAAGCACUAUAAGAGCCAAGACAGCUUCCUGAAACAUGUGAAGAAAAAGAAGGAAGCCAAAGAGAAAGAUACAAUCUAGAAGUUUUCCAGGUUGCUGGCAUAAGGAAAUAUGAAUCCUACAUCCCUGCUGCCACCUUCUCCAUCUACUGUGAGGAGAGGGAUUCUACUAACAUCACAGACUUUCUUCUUUCCUGUCUCUGUCCUCUUUCAUGUCCUCACACAUGUCCUCUUUCAUCUUCUAAACUUCCAUCUUUCUUGAAUUCUCACCAAAGAAUCUCAGAAAAAUUCCUUCUUAUCUUUUUAUUCUCUUUUCAUAUUUAUAAAUCCAGAAGUGAUUUAAAUCAUUAAUUAUAAAUGCAAUAGUGCUAAUAUAAGUAUAAAAUCAAAGUUACACAUUUUUUAAUGAAAAUAGACUUAAUAACACAUUCCUUACAACACAUUCCCUGCCUUAGUCUCUAAGGCCAGAGUUUCAUCUCAUCCCCUGAGUACCAAAGUGCUGUGUGCUCAGUGUCUGGUGGAUGCUUCUUGAUGCUUAAAUGAGUUCAGUGUAUGCUGAGAUCAGCAAGAGAGAGGCAGGAACGCACAGGUGGACUUGUUUUCAUGAACAGGAAUGGGUGUGCCUUCUCUGUCUGGCCUUCAGGGACUCAGCCCCACGCUCUUCCUCCAUGCUCCCCAAAUGAAGUGUCAUCACUCCCCCAAGACCUCUCAUUCAGAGCCAUCUCACAGCAGUUUCUCAGGUCCUUCCUUCGCUCUUGCUUGAAAUUCCCUCCUCUCUCCCUAACAAGCUUUGCUGUGGGUUCAUGCUGCUGCCUCCUCCAGGAAGCCUUCCCACACCCCGCUACACUAAGACCUACUUUCCCUUCAUCUUUCUUCACGGAGUGCCAGAGCCUUCCCGGGAGAAUGCAACAGAACCUGACUGAAUCCCUGCCCUGUGUCGGCCCUUUACAUCCACCUCUUGUAACCUCACUGAUUUCAUGAGAAAUGUGAGAAAUGAGCAAGGACCAGGACUCCCAGGACCAGCUGGUCCUCCAGGCUCCUGGGAUGCUUCUUAUGACAAGACCAGGCUCAACACAUAAGCCGCAAUACCUUCCCUAUCAAGAAGCCCAUGAUGAGCAGUAGUCAAUAAAGGUCAGAGAAAUCUAAGGAAAAAGACUAAACAAUCCAUUUUAUGGAGGCAUGCUGUAACAGGGGAGAUGAAUAAAUCUUCUGUAAGGAAAGUUGUAUCUAAACUUAAGAUGCUCAAGAAAGAAACAAACACAUCUAGAAAAGGAAACAAUUAGCAGUACAGCAGAAGCUUCUUUAGAGAAACUCUGAAGAGAAAAACAAAGCAUCUUGGUUCACAUUUUCAGAGCUGAUCUCUCAUCCUUGAGUCAUGAUUACUUGGAACUAAAAAGCAGAUACAAUAGCAGAAGUUACUGUAUAAGCAACAUUUUGAACUUUAACAAUCCAAGCAGUUAUGAGGCAAUAUGUUUCAGUAUAUUUAUUCUCAAAAUACUUCAUGAGGCAUCCAAAUUGGCUUAUCUACAAUUGAACUGAAAAAUUAAUGAGGUGUUGCUGUGAUCAAUUGAAAUUCAGAAUGUAGAUGAGUAUCAUAACUCCAACAAACAAGAUGAUCAUACUUUGCAAUAAAAUGUCUGACUGAAUA